AGGCAGAAUCAAUCUGUGAUUUAGCAAAACUGGUUAAUCUGUUAAAGGCCCAGGGGCCAAAUGACAAAAGAAACAAAAGACCCAGGAGGGGCCCCAAAAAGCUGGAGAGCAAGGUGGAAAGCCAGGGUGAAAUCUCAGCAUCAGCAUACUCUGGCAGCUAGCAUGUUCCUUCAGCAUCCUGUAGAAAGAACACAAACAUGCCUCUUCUCUACACUUAGAGUUCCCUGGCAUUAAAAUUUAAAAUUUUUUAUGGUAUAUAGAGAUGUUAUUCUCCCCUCUUUUAUUAUAGAAAUAUUGCAAAGUUCAAUGGGCUUGUUCUAUAAUAUUUUGUCUUUGCUAAUUAUGAGGAAUCUCAGUAAUAUGACUAAUAUCAAAUUGUUAAUAAGACAUCUCAAAUGACUGAUUAUAAUUAUCAGUUAUAAUAUUUGUCUUAAUCUGAUUUGGAACAUUUAGUAUUAAAAAUAACAUAUGUAAUGACUAAUUUUAUUUUUUAUUUUGUUUCUUAUGUUAAAACAGUUAUAACUAGAAAGCUUGAAAAGCUGUCAAUGUAUGUAUAUUUUUGUAUAUUUUUGAUUAAUUUUUUGAAUUGUAUUUGUAUAAAUAAUUGUAAAAGUUAAGAAUUAGUAUCAUUAAAAAGAAACAACUUUAAGCAAUUGCAAGCCAUGAGCUAUAUAUGUAUAUUAUUAAUAUAAAAAUCAAAAUUUUGAUUUUUAACAUUUUAAAAGAACAGCUACAGCACCCAGUUCAAUUAUCUGUGCUGAAGCAAGGGGACACUCAAAAGAAUAAAUAUGUGAUCUAAUUAUAUGAGCUUUACUCCCAUAGUAGAUGCAUUUUUAUAGGAUGCAUGUAUAAAUCUAUAACAAUAUAAAAAUAUGUAUAGAGGCAAAUUUUUAACAAUUUAUCUUUUAGAUUACAAUUAUUAAUUUUGUCAAAAAGGCUUGUCAUGUAAUAGAUUAACAAUUAAUAAUAAUCAAUUUGAUUGUUUAAAAUAAGGAACAAACAUUUUAUCACGCUCUUAAAACAGUCUUUUAAAAAAUAUUUUUAUGAUUUUAUUUUGUAACAUUUUAUUAUUAUAUCAAAUCUUUAUUGGAGGAUGUCAAAACCUUAUUUGGAAAGAUUUUAUGUUAAUAUUCUCUUUGUUAAGGAAUGGAAGUGAGCAUAUAUCAUAAACUGUUGACAAAUACUUAUGGUAGCUUUCUCCAAGUUAUGUCUCUCAGUAUUUGUUUUGUAUCUAUCUUGAGAACAUCAGAAGCUUAAAUGACAAACUUAAAGCAGUGUCUUAGGCAAAAUAUUUAUCUCAACACCUUUUGAAAAUAAUUUUCUUAAAAACUUUAAAAGCCCAUUGUUAAGAGCAAGUCAUUUCUUGAGGAAUAACUUUCUAGUGAGAUUAUUUUAUUGUUUUUUUUUUUUUAAAUUAGCUUAUGCUCCUUUAAAGUUAGAAGUGAAUGUUUUUAUAAUUAUCAGAAUGCAAAGCAAAAAACUACCCUCUAUACCUAUAAUAAUUUUGUAUGGAGUAGACAGUCCAAAUUUUAAUGCCUUUAUAAUUUCUAUAUAGCCUUAUUAUCUUUUACAGAUCUAAGUGUGAACUUUAUUUUAAACCAUAUCUGUAUGAAUCUGUUAAAAAUGUUCUUUUGGCCAGAAACUCUCUAAGUGAGGCCUGCAAGACAAAACUGCAUCUCUCAAGCCUCUGCAGCUUUGAGCAGCUUUGAGGCAGCUCUGAGCUUUGUAUUAACUCAAAUGUAAAUCUCCUGAUCUGAGUUUGUUAUCUCUUAAGCCAGACCUACACCUACACCCACCGGUCCUGUAAAGAGUAACCUGUAAUCAGACCCUAUUGUAUAGAGGUCAAAUAAAAAAAGGAACCUGUAAUAUCAAAGCAUAACUACAAUUUGUUGAAAGCAAAACCCAGUUUUAAACAAUCUUUUCUCCUUAAAAUUAAUAGCAAACACAUUUUUAUAUUGUAAAGUUUGUCCAUCAUCUUGUGUUUGAAUGUAUGACUUUGUAACUUAUUGAAGAGACAUUAUUUUAAAUCGUAUUUCUUAUAAAUCCAAUCUCCAGGCCAAGAUUCACACAAAUCACCAUGCUAAUUUAGAAGCAUCUUAGAGGCCUGUAUUUCCUGGGUUGCGUCAUGCCACUUGUAGCUAGUUAAAAUGGCUCCGACACUGAAUCACCAGUUUAAAACUAACCUUUUCUUAAAAACACUAUACCUUUUAAAUUAUAACCAAUUAAUUUAUAACUCUAAAGUCAAGAUAUGUAAAACAUUUAUACCUUUAAGACUAAUUAGAAAUAAGAAUGAAGUGAUCAUACAAAUCUCAUAAAUUUAAACCAAAUACAUUUUUUUUUUCUUGCUGUAACUUCAGGGGAAUAAAGCACUUUGAACCCAAUCAUCAUCAUGAUAGAAAUUUUUCUAGGAGAAUUAACCAUUUCCACUUGUCCGGCUCCUGGCCCUUUAAGAAGCAGCUUUUUUUUUCUAGCUGUCUUUGGCUCCUACCUUAGAAUGUGAGGCACCUCAAAUUAGCCUCCUCUGUGUAAACUGGAAUUGGCAGGACUGCCAGCAAGAUAACGCCUUUUUACCAUUUUUUUUUUACAUAAAACAUAAAAACAACCAAUCAUUCACCCAAACAAAACAAUAGACAACAUGAAUUGACACACAUAUAGACAAGUUUUGGUGCACCAAAGACGUACAAUAGACAACGAGGGAACUUGAUGUCCCAAAAGAUCCAAAUAUCUUAACCUGAACUAAGGAGAUCUCCAGUAGGUUUCAGAGAGAAAACAGGACGUCUCCCAUUUUCUUAUCCUUUCCAGGAGAGUUUUGAAAUAGCUUCUAACCAUUAUUAUUAUUUUUUUUUUUGAUACCGUGUCCUAAACAUGGAAAAACUGCUUUUCUGCAACCUGCUUUUUCUCUUGUUUAAGAUUUAACAAGGGGGAAGGAGAAUGCCUAGUUGAACACACACACACCUGUGGAGAGGGGUGGGAGGAGAGUCCAGGUCUUACAUGCUGUCCAUGAGCAGUUUUUCUCCGGCCGCUUCAGCAGCAGUCUCUGACUUCUACCUGCAUGGGUCUCCCCUGUCCAUUUUUGCCUAGUCCUGUCCAGGGAGAUAGCCCUGGGAGAGCAUUUGUUGAGCAAUAACCUCAUUGGGACUACACAUAAGGACUUUCAUUUGAGAGUGAAUGUCUCUUCCCCAGAGGUUAACAGGCAGACCAGGGACCAUGAAGGGCUGAGUAGAGCCAGUAUUUCCUUCUGUCCUCCCAAGUCAGCAACUUUGAGCUCUGGAGAGUAUUUUUUGAUUGUCCAAUCUCCUGCAGAUGGGUCAGAGAGGCUUGCAAUGGCCAAGCAGGGGGUCAAGCACUUUGUGAGAUCACAGUAGAAUCGGCACCUGAGUCUAAGAUGCCCUCAAAGCUUUUUACCAUUUAUUUUAAGGCUGAGUAUAGGACGAUCUCUGAUGAUUGCCUGGACCCAGUUAAGGUCUGAGGGACUUUGCUGAGAGUAGCCACGCUGCAUGCCUAUCGCUGGGUAUAGGGUGGCGGGCCACGUGGAGGGCCUUGUUUUGGCUCUGGCUUUUUCUAGGCAUUUGACUUGAAAUAAAUCUUGAAGUUAGAGUGACCAUUUGUCCCUCGUAGCUCCUUUAAGAGGACUGCUUGCUCUCUGCAGCUUUUCUCCUCCAAGUUGGCUUUCUCCCCAGGGGUUCUCUUAAUUUAAUGACAUAUCAGCAAGGGAUGGGUCCCUCGGAAGCGGAGGAUAAAGAGAAGUUACAGGAGCUGAUGGCGGGGACUCAGACCUGUCUAUAACGACCAAGGAAGGUUUUGGAGAGUUCUUUUUAGGGGAAAGCGAGGUCACAGAAGCUGCCCACGACAAAGGACAGUGGCAAUAUUCAGCAGGGUCCUUGUUCACACUCUGAAUGAGCCCCCAGUAAGGUUCACCUGUACCUGUUUUCAAAAUCUUAUUAAUUUCUUUACCAACCUUAUCUCAAGUUAGCGGGUGAAUGUCAGGUCCACUUAAAAUUAACCAAGGACAUUUCUCAUGACAAAACAAAAACAAUUAAAUCCUUUUUCUUAACUCUUAUUCCUCUCUCCCUGAAUUAAUGCUUGGCUUAAUUCAAACAUAUGGCUUCAGUAGUAAUAGCCUGUCAGUCAGAGCAAUAAUCACACUGUUGACAUUGCGGCCUACAGAAGAAACAAGUGGGUGGGCUGGGAGGGAAAGACCCUAGGGCUUGCCUAGUGGUUGAGGCUGCAGAUUCAGCAUGGUCCUCUGUGGUAAGGCUGCUUGUUCCUUACCCUUGGUCUUAGAGUGAAAAGAAGGCUUUCUUUACUAGGUAGUCUACAGAUAUUUGGAACCCUACCAGCAGACCUGGCCUCUCCUCUCCUCCCUGUGCUGUGAACCUCUGUCCUAAGGGCAGUCUAGUUAUUGAGCCAUAAGCCCAGUCUCUCCCUGGGCAGGUGAGGGGACAAGGAAGGCCUUCCUUACUUAGGAUGCCCUAGUGAGACAGGUAGAGUCUGGGGCCAGCGUUUUAUACAUCCUUGGGAACAAGUUAGUAGGAACAGGAAGCCCAGAAAGUCAAGGCCUGUCAUGAGCAUAAUAAAAUUGCCUUUUAGACAUGUAAAAAAUAGCUUAGGAUUCCCACCAUACCCAAGGAUGCACCUGAUAACCAGAACUCUGUGACAUCACUCACCUAAGACAACCAGACACAGUCCUAGAACCCCAUGAUACCCACUGGAAAGUAUAUAAGCAGAGACCAAGAGCAAAUGCUUUGCUCUGCACAUCUGGAGAGAUGCCACCUUGAUCUGCCUUGUGACUGGAGAGUCUCCUCCAGGAUCCUAACCCUCAAAUCAGAGACAUCUGUUAAAGACUAGACCUGAACUUCAGCUAAGAUAUAACCAUACAGAUAAGCAGCCUUGGGGAGAUAGGCUUAGAUGUUAGGAAUUCAGCGUGUGAACGUCAUGUGAUGACACUCAGCAUAAUAACAUAUAACUCUCAUUAUAUUAACUAGGCAUCUAGUUAAUAUAAUCUACCUUCUUGCUCAAUGAAAGACCACACUUCAGAAAGCCUUAGGCAGGACACCCAAUGACAUCUCAUCAAAUUUCCCCACUGGUUUCUACAUAUUCUAGACAUGUACUAAAGGCCUGUAAUCCACAGGGACACAGAUCUUGACUGGGCAUGGUUGAUUCAUGGGCUUAGGAAGCUGACCAAAAAAAGUAAGAGAUAGAGAGAAGACUUGAGAGCCAGAGGAAAACUGGGCCCUGGCGUCCAGGCCCAGGCUUCUCAGUCUGUUAGGCUCUCGGGCUCUCUUGGUUCUGUUGGCAAGCAUAUCUGUGGGCCAAGGACCAGUGAGAACAGAGCCUACAGGUGACCACACGCAGCAUCCGGCCGCCUCAGAAGCAUGCUCAGAAGCAUGCUCAGAAGCACAGAGUGGGGUGCUGUGUUCAGAGGGGCCUACUGUGCAGGGAGAGGAGCACUGGUUUCAAGAGUCAGACUUGAAGAGGUCCAAGAUCUGCACAUAGACCCAGCAGGGAACUGGACUCUGUGGGCUCUGCCUCGCUGAAGGGACAGACAGCUCAUCUCGCAAGUUGGUUCUUCGGAUCUGUUCAUUUGUCUGGUGGAAAAAAUGAAAACAAACAAAUACAAAAACAAAAUAACAAUGGUGACACAGUGAGAUGACCCCAGAGAUCCUCUAGGCAGGGCCUGCUGUAGAUGUCUGUACCUUUUUCAGUACUUUCUGCAUAUGGGUUAGCCCAAGAGGCUCUAUGUUCUUAAGCAAUGAGAAGGCCGUUAUUGAUUUCGUUUCUAGAGAGAAUAAAAAAGAAAGGUGGCAUUGGGCUAUCGACAGCAGCAAGAUGUCCCCCAGUCAUCCCGUGGCCUCGCUCACUGUGCAGACCCCUGGCUUAGGGAGGUCACCAGAUAAGAGGCAUCGUCUUUCCUUUCUGAGUUGGACCUUUCUCUGACCCUGAUGGGACCCAGGGGAAGGUUCAAUUUUCUUUGAGUUCGUUUACAUUAUGGGUUACCCAGACCUUGGAGAUUUGGUCAGAGACCUUGCCUGUUAACUCCUUGGAGAACAGCUUGGAAUACGCAUUUAAACUAGGGAUUCUGAGGGGGGUGUCCACAUUCUAAAUGGGCAAAGUAAUGCCAAAGUCACUCUCCUUCUGGGCAGUCUGUUCUUCACUGGGUAGGGCUGAAGGGGCCAUGCAAGCCUGCUGUGUUACUGACCAGUACCUAUUCCCACUGUCACAGGGCUCUGGCUUGACUCCCUUCCCUCUAGUCUGCCAAAGGCAACGGCCAAACUACUUAGAUAUGAGCCCAACCAUGGAUUCCACAGAGAGUCAGGCCUUCAGGACUGUCCAUAAGGCAUCUGUGUUGCUCUCUAGGCUAGAAGCAAUAUGGCCUGUCCAGUGUUAUUAAAACAGACAGAACACACUGAGGGGAGCAGGGUGGGGCCUGAUGAUCAUUCUAGGACAAGAUAGGUGGGUAUAUGAGGUUCAGAAUAAUCUGAUGUGAGAAGGUUAAGCAGGCAUAGCAAGGUGAUUCACAAUCAACUCAAAGGCGGCUUCCUGUUGGGGAACAGAGAGGACAUGCCAGGGUUGAGCUUUGAGGGCCCUAUGCAUGCCUGGCCCAGGUAUACAUCACUAAAAGAUGACAUGAUAAUGUUCAGCAUGCCCAGUGGGGGUCAAACCAGGGAUUUCUCACUCCAGUUCUGCCCUCCUCCGUUGGCCAGCACAGCCCAGUCCAGCUCACCCUAUGUACAGCCUACCUCUUUCUCUCUGCCCUGCCCAUAGCCUUCUCCCAUCUCAGCAUCUACCCCUCUCUCUGGCCCUAGAAUCUAUCCUUCUGAUUGGCCUAGCCAACCAUCUUCUACAGUGUCUAUCUCAACGCUCCACCCCGGCCCAGAC